UGGGGAAUAUUGGACAAUGGGCGCAAGCCUGAUCCAGCCAUACCGCGUGGGUGAAGAAGGCCUUCGGGUUGUAAAGCCCUUUUGUUGGGAAAGAAAUCCAGCCGGCUAAUACCUGGUUGGGAUGACGGUACCCAAAGAAUAAGCACCGGCUAACUUCGUGCCAGCAGCCGCGGUAAUACGAAGGGUGCAAGCGUUACUCGGAAUUACUGGGCGUAAAGCGUGCGUAGGUGGUCGUUUAAGUCCGUUGUGAAAGCCUUGGGCUCAACCUGGGAACUGCAGUGGAUACUGGGCGACUAGAGUGUGGUAGAGGGUAGCGGAAUUCCUGGUGUAGCAGUGAAAUGCGUAGAGAUCAGGAGGAACAUCCAUGGCGAAGGCAGCUACCUGGACCAACACUGACACUGAGGCACGAAAGCGUGGGGAGCAAACAGGAUUAGAUACCCUGGUAGUCCACGCCUUAAACGAUGCGAACUGGAUGUUGGGUGCAAUUUGGCACGCAGUAUCGAAGCUAACGCGUUAAGUUCGCCGCCUGGGGAGUACGGUCGCAAGACUG
rnacentral:rRNA from 1 species